UACGUAGGGGGCAAGCGUUGUCCGGAAUCACUGGGCGUAAAGCGCACGUAGGCGGCUUUUUAAGUCAGGGGUGAAAUCCUGGAGCUCAACUCCAGAACUGCCUUUGAUACUGAGAAGCUUGAGUUCGGGAGAGGUGAGUGGAACUGCGAGUGUAGAGGUGAAAUUCGUAGAUAUUCGCAAGAACACCAGUGGCGAAGGCGGCUCACUGGCCCGAUACUGACGCUGAGGUGCGAAAGCGUGGGGAGCAAACAGG
rnacentral:rRNA from 1 species